rnacentral:rRNA from 1 species
UGGCUCAUUACAACAGCCGUCGUUUCUUGGAUCUCUUAUUUUACUUGGAUAACUGUGGUAAUUCUAGAGCUAAUACACGCACUAAAGCUCCGACCUUACGGGACGAGCGCAUUUAUUAGAACAAAACCAAUCGGGUUUCGGCCCGUUCGUUGGUGACUCUGAAUAACUACGCCGAUCGCACGGUCUCGCACCGGCGACGCAUCUUUCAAGUGUCUGCCUUAUCAACUUUCGAUGGUAGUUUAUGUGCCUACCAUGGUUGUAACGGGUAACGGAGAAUAAGGGUUCGACUCCGGAGAGGGAGCCUGAGAAACGGCUACCACAUCCAAGGAAGGCAGCAGGCGCGCAAAUUACCCACUCUCGGCACGAGGAGGUAGUGACGAAAAAUAACGAGACGGAUCUCUUUGAGGCCCGUUAUCGGAAUGAGAACAAUUCAAAUCCUUUAACGAGGAUCUAGCGGAGGGCAAGUCUGGUGCCAGCAGCCGCGGUAAUUCCAGCUCCGCAGGUGUAUAUCUAUGCUGCUGCGGUUAAAAAGCUCGUAGUUGGAUCUGCGUGCUCGGAACCGGUUGGCUCACUGAGUUCAAACUGGUCUCCGGCGCUUUAUCGGCUGGUUUUCCCUUGAUGCUCUUAACCGGGUGUCUUGGGUGGCUAGCACGUUUACUUUGAAAAAAUUAGAGUGCUCAAUACAGGCGCAAAGCCUUGAAUAGUGGUGCAUGGAAUAAUAGAAUAGGACCUCGGUUCUAUUUUGUUGGUUUUCGGAACGCGAGGUAAUGAUUAAGAGGGACAGACRGGGGCAUUCGUAUUGCGACGUUAGAGGUGAAAUUCUUGGAUCGYCGCAAGACGGACGACUGCGAAAGCAUUUGCCAA